rnacentral:telomerase_RNA from 1 species
AGAGCAUGACCAAGGAGCAAAAAUACCAAGCCUGGAUCACUAGGAGGGCUGAGAUUACCGCCAGCAAGAGGUUGGGCCCACAGAGUAGCGAGAAUGUCUGGGAGUACAGGAGGUGAGAAAACCUUCUCUUCUGAUCAGCCAACCUUGUAUGCCAAGCUUGACAUCUUCUGCGCCCUUCUUUCCCCUUCUCUGAAUCCGCUCACUAGGGACGACAACGUUGUUCGGACGGGGAAGGAACAGAGUGGCUUUAGCACGGUCGUCUGAUCUUCACAUCUGGCAUCAUCAUCCUGUCUCUCUCAAGAGAAGAGCUCGGCGUCCUCCGCUCCAACUCCCGAAGGAGAUCCAGUUCAGAUUCCCCCUUUUCUCCAUCAAUCCGUCGAAAAAUCUCCGAUCGCACUCUUAGCACCCCCAAUCCAUUUUCGAUCCGCCGCCCGCCUGGCGAGUCGAAGAGGGAUGGGGAGGGUUGGGGGAUUCAAAGGUGCAUGCACGGAUCUUCAGCAAAGGUUCCCUCGAGCAAAUCGAGGUUGUCAAUCUUGCGAAAAUCCUUGCCCCUCUUUCCCCCCUCUAAACUUCCCUCUCGGCUCGUCAGGUGAUCCCCUAGUAGGACUUGAAGAGGUGCGGACGAUCCUAACCCUAAGUUAUCAGCCAUGUCGGUCAAGUACCCGCUGCGACCAUCCUUUCCUUUUUUGAUCUUUUGUCCGAUCGUCCCUCUGAGAUGGUCCAUUGGGUCGGAUUGGAUGUCCUGCGGGGAAAAGGGUGGAGUCUGGAAGCAUCCAUCCUCAUCUCUAGUCUGCCCACUUUUUGGGACGGAGGGUGAUGGGGUUGCUCGGCUCGCCUGGAGAACGGGUCCUCCUCUGGCCGACUGACCGGCGCGUCAGCUCGGAAUGGGGGGAAGGUGUGAAGAAACUUCGAGGAUCACGACUCCAUGACCACUCGACUCGCUUUUCCCAAAUCGCUGAGUCGAAGGGUUGUGAUGGAGACGAGGUCCGCGUUGUUUUUGACCUUCUGCGCUGUUGUCCUUGACUUUUUCUCCCUCUCUCUUUUUCAAUCACAUCUUGGGAUUCCACUGUCGACUUUUUCCAUACCGACUCCCUUUCCCCCUGGCAGAGGGUCCCAGAAAGGGGUCUUGGAGGAAGACAAAGGGUCUUGAUCGUCGGAACUCAUGCUGAUUUGAAAAAGGGGAAGAGGAAUGACAAGGCGACAUCUCAGCUCGUUUCUCACUCCGACGGUCGUUUCCAACCUCGAUGCCUGUCAGCAGGUGCUCCGAAAGGAGCAAGAAGUUGGGAAGGCCACCACUCCUCAUUGAACCCACCUUGCCUUCUUCACCUUGGUCGCUGAAGAGAUGAAGGAAAGUGGGUGUUCAAAGGUUUCAAAAGGCGUAGAGAGUUUUCUUGUACUCCUCUUUUUCUGCAGCCUCCUUGUUCCGAUGUCCCUCGACCCCCUUUCGUCUUCGGGAAAAGGGUAUGAAGAGGCCUCGGAAAGCUUGGGUGGUACGCCUCAGGAUCUUGAAUCCUGGAAGGAUCAGGGAAUUGUGAUGGGAGGAAAAUCGAUAUCUCGGUUUACUCUCACCAUGAUCUCUUCGAUCCAGCUAACAAAGAGGAGAGGGUGCGGUGCGAUUUUUUCUAAUCGGAUUUUG